GGGUUGUGAGGUUAAGCGACUAAGCGUACACGGUGGAUGCCCUGGCAGUCAGAGGCGAUGAAGGACGUGCUAAUCUGCGAUAAGCGUCGGUAAGGUGAUAUGAACCGUUAUAACCGGCGAUUUCCGAAUGGGGAAACCCAGUGUGAUUCGUCACACUAUCAUUAACUGAAUCCAUAGGUUAAUGAGGCGAACCGGGGGAACUGAAACAUCUAAGUACCCCGAGGAAAAGAAAUCAACCGAGAUUCCCCCAGUAGCGGCGAGCGAACGGGGAGCAGCCCAGAGCCUGAAUCAGUGUGUGUGUUAGUGGAAGCGUCUGGAAAGGCGUGCGAUACAGGGUGACAGCCCCGUACACAAAAAUGCACAUGCUGUGAGCUCGAUGAGUAGGGCGGGACACGUGGUAUCCUGUCUGAAUAUGGGGGGACCAUCCUCCAAGGCUAAAUACUCCUGACUGACCGAUAGUGAACCAGUACCGUGAGGGAAAGGCGAAAAGAACCCCGGCGAGGGGAGUGAAAAAGAACCUGAAACCGUGUACGUACAAGCAGUGGGAGCACAGAGCAAUCUGUGUGACUGCGUACCUUUUGUAUAAUGGGUCAGCGACUUAUAUUCUGUAGCAAGGUUAACCGAAUAGGGGAGCCGAAGGGAAACCGAGUCUUAACUGGGCGUUAAGUUGCAGGGUAUAGACCCGAAACCCGGUGAUCUAGCCAUGGGCAGGUUGAAGGUUGGGUAACACUAACUGGAGGACCGAACCGACUAAUGUUGAAAAAUUAGCGGAUGACUUGUGGCUGGGGGUGAAAGGCCAAUCAAACCGGGAGAUAGCUGGUUCUCCCCGAAAGCUAUUUAGGUAGCGCCUCGUGAAUUCAUCUCCGGGGGUAGAGCACUGUUUCGGCAAGGGGGUCAUCCCGACUUACCAACCCGAUGCAAACUGCGAAUACCGGAGAAUGUUAUCACGGGAGACACACGGCGGGUGCUAACGUCCGUCGUGAAGAGGGAAACAACCCAGACCGCCAGCUAAGGUCCCAAAGUCAUGGUUAAGUGGGAAACGAUGUGGGAAGGCCCAGACAGCCAGGAUGUUGGCUUAGAAGCAGCCAUCAUUUAAAGAAAGCGUAAUAGCUCACUGGUCGAGUCGGCCUGCGCGGAAGAUGUAACGGGGCUAAACCAUGCACCGAAGCUGCGGCAGCGACGCUUAUGCGUUGUUGGGUAGGGGAGCGUUCUGUAAGCCUGCGAAGGUGUGCUGUGAGGCAUGCUGGAGGUAUCAGAAGUGCGAAUGCUGACAUAAGUAACGAUAAAGCGGGUGAAAAGCCCGCUCGCCGGAAGACCAAGGGUUCCUGUCCAACGUUAAUCGGGGCAGGGUGAGUCGACCCCUAAGGCGAGGCCGAAAGGCGUAGUCGAUGGGAAACAGGUUAAUAUUCCUGUACUUGGUGUUACUGCGAAGGGGGGACGGAGAAGGCUAUGUUGGCCGGGCGACGGUUGUCCCGGUUUAAGCGUGUAGGCUGGUUUUCCAGGCAAAUCCGGAAAAUCAAGGCUGAGGCGUGAUGACGAGGCACUACGGUGCUGAAGCAACAAAUGCCCUGCUUCCAGGAAAAGCCUCUAAGCAUCAGGUAACAUCAAAUCGUACCCCAAACCGACACAGGUGGUCAGGUAGAGAAUACCAAGGCGCUUGAGAGAACUCGGGUGAAGGAACUAGGCAAAAUGGUGCCGUAACUUCGGGAGAAGGCACGCUGAUAUGUAGGUGAAGUCCCUCGCGGAUGGAGCUGAAAUCAGUCGAAGAUACCAGCUGGCUGCAACUGUUUAUUAAAAACACAGCACUGUGCAAACACGAAAGUGGACGUAUACGGUGUGACGCCUGCCCGGUGCCGGAAGGUUAAUUGAUGGGGUUAGCGCAAGCGAAGCUCUUGAUCGAAGCCCCGGUAAACGGCGGCCGUAACUAUAACGGUCCUAAGGUAGCGAAAUUCCUUGUCGGGUAAGUUCCGACCUGCACGAAUGGCGUAAUGAUGGCCAGGCUGUCUCCACCCGAGACUCAGUGAAAUUGAACUCGCUGUGAAGAUGCAGUGUACCCGCGGCAAGACGGAAAGACCCCGUGAACCUUUACUAUAGCUUGACACUGAACAUUGAGCCUUGAUGUGUAGGAUAGGUGGGAGGCUUUGAAGUGUGGACGCCAGUCUGCAUGGAGCCGACCUUGAAAUACCACCCUUUAAUGUUUGAUGUUCUAACGUUGACCCGUGAUCCGGGUUGCGGACAGUGUCUGGUGGGUAGUUUGACUGGGGCGGUCUCCUCCUAAAGAGUAACGGAGGAGCACGAAGGUUGGCUAAUCCUGGUCGGACAUCAGGAGGUUAGUGCAAUGGCAUAAGCCAGCUUGACUGCGAGCGUGACGGCGCGAGCAGGUGCGAAAGCAGGUCAUAGUGAUCCGGUGGUUCUGAAUGGAAGGGCCAUCGCUCAACGGAUAAAAGGUACUCCGGGGAUAACAGGCUGAUACCGCCCAAGAGUUCAUAUCGACGGCGGUGUUUGGCACCUCGAUGUCGGCUCAUCACAUCCUGGGGCUGAAGUAGGUCCCAAGGGUAUGGCUGUUCGCCAUUUAAAGUGGUACGCGAGCUGGGUUUAGAACGUCGUGAGACAGUUCGGUCCCUAUCUGCCGUGGGCGCUGGAGAACUGAGGGGGGCUGCUCCUAGUACGAGAGGACCGGAGUGGACGCAUCACUGGUGUUCGGGUUGUCAUGCCAAUGGCACUGCCCGGUAGCUAAAUGCGGAAGAGAUAAGUGCUGAAAGCAUCUAAGCACGAAACUUGCCCCGAGAUGAGUUCUCCCUGACUCCUUGAGAGUCCUGAAGGAACGUUGAAGACGACGACGUUGAUAGGCCGGGUGUGUAAGCGCAGCGAUGCGUUGAGCUAACCGGUACUAAUGAACCGUGAGGCUUAACCUUACAACGCCGAAGCUGUU
rnacentral:rRNA from 1 species